rnacentral:rRNA from 1 species
GACAUAGGUGGCAAACGUUAUCCGGAAUUAUUGGGCGUAAAGGGUGCGUAGGCGGUCGCGCAAGUCGGAUGUGAAAUCUUAGGGCUCAACCCUGAAACUGCAUUCGAUACUGCGUGGCUCGAGUACUGGAGAGGAGACUGGAAUUUACGGUGUAGCAGUGAAAUGCGUAGAUAUCGUAAGGAAGACCAGUGGCGAAGGCGAGUCUCUGGACAGUUACUGACGCUGAGGCACGAAGGCCAGGGGAGCAAACGGG